GGAUUAGGUAGGAAUACCCGCUGAACUUAAGCAUAUCAAUAAGCGGAGGAAAAGAAACCAACAGGGAUUGCCCUAGUAACGGCGAGUGAAGCGGCAACAGCUCAAAUUUGAAAUCUGGCCCUAGCGGUCCGAGUUGUAAUUUGUAGAGGAUGCUUUUGGUUAGGUGCCUUCUGAGUUCCCUGGAACGGGACGCCAGAGAGGGUGAGAGCCCCGUACGGUUGGACACCGAGCCUCUAUAUAGCUCCUUCGACGAGUCGAGUAGUUUGGGAAUGCUGCUCUAAAUGGGAGGUAAAUUUCUUCUAAAGCUAAAUACCGGCCAGAGACCGAUAGCGCACAAGUAGAGUGAUCGAAAGAUGAAAAGUACUUUGAAAAGAGGGUUAAAUAGCACGUGAAAUUGUUGAAAGGGAAGCGUUUGCGACCAGACUUUUUCCAGGCGGAUCAUCCUGUGUUCUCACCGGUGCACUUCGCCUGGUUUAGGCCAGCAUCGGUUCUCUUAGGGGGAUAAAGGCCUGGGGAACGUAGCUCCUUCGGGAGUGUUAUAGCCCCUAGCGUAAUACCCUUCGGGGGACCGAGGAACGC
rnacentral:rRNA from 1 species